rnacentral:tRNA from 2 species
GCCCGCUUGAUGGAAUUGGUAGACAUACAGGACUUAAAAUCCUGAGGCCGCAAGGCCGUGCCGGUUCGAGUCCGGCAGCGGGUACCA